UACGAAGGGGGCUAGCGUUGUUCGGAAUCACUGGGCGUAAAGCGCACGUAGGCGGAUCUUUAAGUCAGGGGUGAAAUCCCGAGGCUCAACCUCGGAACUGCCUUUGAUACUGGGGAUCUCGAGUCCGGGAGAGGUGAGUGGAACUCCUAGUGUAGAGGUGGAAUUCGUAGAUAUUAGGAAGAACACCAGUGGCGAAGGCGGCUCACUGGUCCGGUACUGACGCUGAGGCACGAAAGCGUGGGGAGCAAACAGGG
rnacentral:rRNA from 1 species